rnacentral:rRNA from 1 species
GAUGAACGCUGGCGGCGUGCCUAAUACAUGCAAGUCGAGCGAGUGGAUUAAGCGCUUGCUCUUAUGAAGUUAGCGGCGGACGGGUGAGUAACACGUGGGUAACCUGCCCAUAAGACUGGGAUAACUCCGGGAAACCGGGGCUCAUACCGGAUAACAUUUUGAACCGCAUGGUUCUCAAUUGAAAGGCAGCUUCGGCUGUCACUUAUGGAUGGACCCGCGUCGCAUUAGCUAGUUGGUUAGGUAACGGCUCACCAAGGCAACGAUGCGUAGCCGACCUGAGAGGGUGAUCGGCCACACUGGGACUGAGACACGGCCCAGACUCCUACGGGAGGCAGCAGUAGGGAAUCUUCCGCAAUGGACGAAAGUCUGACGGAGCAACGCCGCGUGAGUGAUGAAGGCUUUCGGGUCGUAAAACUCUGUUGUUAGGGAAGAACAAGUGCUAGUUGAAUAAGCUGGCACCUUGACGGUACCUAACCAGAAAGCCACGGCUAACUACGUGCCAGCCGCCGCAGUAA